GUGAAUCAUCGAGUCUUUGAACGCAUAUUGCACUCUCUUUACGGAGAGUAUGCCUGUUUGAGAAUCUAAUGUAUUUAUUUUCUGCGGUUACUGUCAAAGGUAUACCGUAGAGAGAUGUGAGGCUUCUCUAACCGAGUGCCUUGAAAUAUAUAACUGGUUUCGCUGUAGAAAUGUUUGAGUCUCUGCAAAGUCAACCAAAAGUAUUUGAAUGAAACGGUAGUUUCUCAUAAUGCCUAGUAGAAGACAGUAGGGGUGAGUUUUUAUAGGGAGUUCGGUCCAUAACUAUAAAGUCUAGACCGUAAAAAGUCUAGGCUUGAACCAUGGUCUCAAAUCAGGUAGGAAUACCCGCUGAACUUAAGCAUAUCAAUAAGCGGAGG
rnacentral:rRNA from 1 species